GCCAGGGGCGGUGGCGCAUGCCUGUAGUCCAGCUACUUGGGAGGCUGAGGUGGGAGGAUCGCUUGAGCCCAGGAGUUCUGGAUUGUAGUGUGCUGUGCUGAUCAGGUGUCCUCACUAAGUUCAGCAUCAAUAUGGUGACCUCCCGGGAGCGGGGGACCACCAGGUUGCCUAAGGAGGGGUGAACCGUCCCAGGUGGGAAACGGAGCAGGUCAAAACUCCCUUGCUGAUCAGUAGUGGGAUUGCGCCUGUGAAUAGCCACUGCACUCCAGCCAGGGCAACAUAGCAAGACCGCAUCUCCU
ensembl:misc_RNA Metazoa_SRP Metazoan signal recognition particle RNA